rnacentral:rRNA from 1 species
CCUACGGGAGGCAGCAGUGAGGAAUAUUGGUCAAUGGACGAGAGUCUGAACCAGCCAAGUAGCGUGAAGGAUGACUGCCCUAUGGGUUGUAAACUUCUUUUAUAUGGGAAUAAAAUGUUCCACGUGUGGGAUUUUGUAUGUACCAUAUGAAUAAGGAUCGGCUAACUCCGUGCCAGCAGCCGCGGUAAUACGGAGGAUCCGAGCGUUAUCCGGAUUUAUUGGGUUUAAAGGGAGCGUAGGUGGAUUGUUAAGUCAGUUGUGAAAGUUUGCGGCUCAACCGUAAAAUUGCAGUUGAAACUGGCAGUCUUGAGUACAGUAGAGGUGGGCGGAAGUCGUGGUGUAGCGGUGAAAUGCUUAGAUAUCACGAAGAAAUCCGAUUGCGAAGGCAGUUCACUGGACUGCAACUGACACUGAGGCUCGAAAGUGUGGGUAUCAAACAGGAGUAGAUACCCUUGUAGUC